CAUUACCCACCUUGUGUGCACUGUAGGGAGGGGGCAGAACGGUGCGCCACACAUGUUGUGCGCUGCCUGCCUCUUUCAUUAUACACAUACUAUCUUCAUUCUCGUCUACUUCUAUUGAGUAUAAAACUCUAAUACAACUUUCAACAACGGAUCUCUUGGCUCUCGCAUCGAUGAAGAACGCAGCGAAAUGCGAUACGUAAUGUGAAUUGCAGAAUUCAGUGAAUCAUCGAAUCUUUGAACGCAUAUUGCGCCUUCUGGUAUUCCGGAAGGCAUGCUUGUUUGAGUAUCAGUAACAACCUCAACUCCUUUUCAAUCGUGUUAUGCGUGAGGGAAGGUGUUGGAUUUGAGCAUAUCCACCGGGCCAUAUUGGCUUGAGGGAUGCUUGAAAUGGAGGUUCGGCCGACAGUGCCUGGGCUACAAGCAUUUCAUACUUAAUCCCGUUAAACGGAUUAUAUCCUUUGCUGCAGCCAACAUACAGGGUAACUGUCAGUGUUCCGACUGAUGCAGGAAAGUUGAGAUGGGUUCUUCGGAUCCUAGCUCUUCUAAACUCGAUCUCAAAUCAAGUAAGACUACCCGCUGAACUUAA
rnacentral:rRNA from 1 species